UGUCCGUUUUGGUUUCUCACCGUGGAAGCUUUGUUCUUUUGGUCUUUUGUAAUAGGUCUUGCUGUUGCUCAGUGUUUGGGUCUACAUUACUUUUGGAGCUGUGGCACUCCGCGUGAAGGCUUGCAGCUUCACCCUUGAAGCCAGUGAGACCAUGAACCCACCAGGAGGAGUGAAGGCUGUCUUGUCUUAAGUAGUCCUACCGGCUGUAACGGUUGUUGUGAAAGUCUGUAUCCUCACUCGUGAGCCAGCAAGACCAUGAAUCAACUAGGAGGAAGAAACUCCGAACAUAUGCGAACAUCAGGAGGAACAAACUCUGGAUACGCUGCUUUUAAAAGUUGUAAUGCUCACUGAGCAGGUUUGCGGCUUCAUUCUUGAAGUCAGUGAGACCAAGAACCCACCAAUUCUGGACACAAAAUCUGUUUGCCUGUUUAGAGGCAUACUACGGGGUUACAUUAGAAGCCCACCGAGAUAAUCCAAUACAAUCUUCUGAUCUCAAAAUCCUUCACUUAAUGACAUCUUUGGCAACUUGAAAUAAUAAUCACAGGUGUCUGACUUUUAAGGUGAGAGAACUAAGUUGUGUGACUCCAAAAGAGCAGAAACCAGGAACUGGAGAAUGGAGGACCAAAGAUCAGAGAACAAACGGUAAAGAAGGAUGUGUUUGCUCCCACUUCCACCAUGAUUGUAAGUUUCCUGAGGCCUCCCAAGCCAUGAUGAACUGUUGUAAAUCUCUCACUCCAGCAUGGCCCACCGUAUACCUGGAGGAAAGGAAUGUCCCUAUCUGAAGACACAGAGACACCAAGAAGAAUCCGAACAGGACUUGCUAAGUUCCCUCCUGUUUAUAACCAUUAGCUAAUACCCUUUUACCCAAUCAUACUUCUGCAUGACUGUUCAUGAACAUACACAGUUUUCCCUGUUUCUUUGGAUCUUAAUUUCUGAAGGUUCCCGGGUCACAUAAAGCUUGUUUUGUUCUCUUUUGUUUGAGACAAGGUCUCACUCUGUCAGCCAGGCUGGAGUGCAGUGGUAUGAGCAUGGUUCGCUGCAGCUUUGACCUCCUCCCACUGGGGAUCUUCCCAAGCAAUCCUCCCACCUUAGCCUCCCAAGUAGCUGGAGCUACGGGUGCAUGCCACCACACCAAGCUCAUUUUUAAACUUUUUGUAGAGAUGGGGGUCUCGCUAUGUUGCUCAGGCUAGUCUUGAACUCCUGGGCUCAGGCAAUCAUCCUACCUCAGCCUCUAAAAGUGCUGGGAUUACAGGUGUGAGCCACUGCGCCCAGCCCCUGUCACAUAAAACUUACUUCAAAUAAAUUUGUUAAACUCUUC
rnacentral:lncRNA from 10 species